rnacentral:rRNA from 1 species
UGAGCUCAGGCGAAGGCUACCCGCUGAACUUAAGCAUAUCAAUAAGCCGGAAGAAAA